CACGGAUAACAUACCGAAAGGUAUGCUAAUACGGGAUAAUAUAUUUGAGAGGCAUCUCUUAAAUAUCAAAGGUGAGCCAGUACAGGAUGGACCCGCGUCUGAUUAGCUAGUUGGUAAGGUAACGGCUUACCAAGGCAACGAUCAGUAGCCGACCUGAGAGGGUGAUCGGCCACAUUGGAACUGAGACGCGGUCCAAACUCCUACGGGAGGCAGCAGUGGGGAAUAUUGCACAAUGGGCGAAAGCCUGAUGCAGCAACGCCGCGUGAGUGAUGAAGGCCUUCGGGUCGUAAAACUCUGUCCUCAAGGAAGAUAAUGACGGUACUUGAGGAGGAAGCCCCGGCUAACUACGUGCCAGCAGCCGCGGUAAUACGUAGGGGGCUAGCGUUAUCCGGAUUUACUGGGCGUAAAGGGUGCGUAGGCGGUCUUUCAAGUCAGGAGUGAAAGGCUACGGCUCAACCGUAGUAAGCUCUUGAAACUGGGAGACUUGAGUGCAGGAGAGGAGAGUGGAAUUCCUAGUGUAGCGGUGAAAUGCGUAGAUAUUAGGAGGAACACCAGCUGCGAAGGCGGCUCUCUGGACUGUAACUGACGCUGAGGCACGAAAGCGUGGGGAGCAAACAGGAUUAGAUACCCUGGUAGUCCACGCUGUAAACGAUGAGUACUAGGUGUCGGGGGUUACCCCCUUCGGUGCCGCAGCUAACG
rnacentral:rRNA from 1 species